CCUACGGGCGGCAGCAGUAGGGAAUUUUCGACAAUGGGGGGAACCCUGAACGAGCAAUGCCGCGUGAGUGAAGAAGGUCUUCGGAUCGUAAAGCUCUGUUGUAAGGGAAAAAAGGGUAUCAUAGGGAAUGAUGAUAUCGUGAUGGUAUCUUACCAGAAAGCCACGGCUAACUACGUGCCAGCAGCCGCUGCAAUACGUAGGGUGCAAGCGUUAGCCGGAAUGAGUGGGCGUAAAGGGUGCGUAGGCGGCAAAGUAAGUCUGAAGUAAAAGGCGUUGGCUCAACCAACGUCAGUGUUGGAAACUGUUUAGCUAGCGUGCAGGAGAGGUUAGUGGAAGUCCAUGUGUAGCGGUAAAAUGCGUAGAUAUAUGGAGGAACACCAGUGGCGAAGGCGGCUAACUGGCCUGUAACGGACGCUGAGGCACGAAAGCGUGGGGAGCAAAUAGGAUUAGAUACCCCAGUAGUC
rnacentral:rRNA from 1 species